GGGGGUAUAGCUCAGUUGGUAGAGCACCUGCCUUGCAAGCAGGGGGUCAGCGGUUCGAAUCCGCUUAUCUCCACCA
rnacentral:tRNA from 2 species